AGCAGCCGCCGCGGCAAUACGUAGGUGGCAAGCGUUGUCCGGAAUUAUUGGGCGUAAAGCGCGCGCAGGCGGAUCAGUUAGUCUGUCUUAAAAGUUCGGGGCUUAACCCCGUGAGGGGAUGGAAACUGCUGAUCUAGAGUAUCGGAGAGGAGAGUGGAAUUCCUAGUGUAGCGGUGAAAUGCGUAGAUAUUAGGAAGAACACCAGUGGCGAAGGCGACUUUCUGGACGAAAACUGACGCUGAGGCGCGAAAGCCAGGGGAGCGAACGGGAUUAGAUACCCGAGUAGUCCCUGUCUCUUAUACA
rnacentral:rRNA from 1 species